rnacentral:rRNA from 1 species
GAUGAACGCUGGCGGCGUGCCUAAGGCAUGCAAGUCGAACGGGAAGUCUUCGGACUUCUAGUGGCGCACGGGUGCGUAACGCGUGGGAAUCUGCCCUUUGGUUCGGAAUAACAGUUGGAAACGACUGCUAAUACCGGAUGAUGACGAAAGUCCAAAGAUUUAUCGCCAGAGGAUGAGCCCGCGUAGGAUUAGCUAGUUGGUGUGGUAAAGGCGCACCAAGGCGACGAUCCUUAGCUGGUCUGAGAGGAUGAUCAGCCACACUGGGACUGAGACACGGCCCAGACUCCUACGGGAGGCAGCAGUGGGGAAUAUUGGACAAUGGGCGAAAGCCUGAUCCAGCAAUGCCGCGUGAGUGAUGAAGGCCUUAGGGUUGUAAAGCUCUUUUACCCGGGAUGAUAAUGACAGUACCGGGAGAAUAAGCUCCGGCUAACUCCGUGCCAGCAGCCGCAGUAA